rnacentral:tRNA from 1 species
GAUUACUUGGCUGAAAGAUUAAGCAAAUAUUUUGAAAAUAUUCCAUAAAGGUUUAAAUCCAUUAGUAAUCC